UCUGUGCCAUUUUCGCGUACAUUUGAAACCUGUCGCCUUAAUAAACGUCCGAUUUUUUUCAGCGGAUAGAGGAGCUGACGCUGUUCCAACAAGUAAAUAUAUAUCCUGAGGGGAAGGGUGCAGUUUUCUGGAUAAAACUCUUUGGUCUAUAUAAAGAUUCUGAGUUUAAAAAUCACACGAGGAUUCACUCCAAUGAAAAGUAAACAUUCCUUUUCUCGAAAAAUUUAAUUGCAGAACUAUUUACAGGAGGUGAACAUCAGCAGUACAGAAAUCAGAAGAGAGAGGCAUUAUCCUAGAAGAAGUCAGGAAAGAGUGAAAAAAGAGUCAGGAGAGAAAAGAACGCAAGGAACACAAUCCUUCAAUGCCCUGAAGUGUUGACCAACAUCUGAUUGGAACUUAUCCACAAAAAGGAAGGGAGCGUGGUGUGGACUGCGCCCUGUACAUUCAGAGUAGGUGUCCUGCAUGCUACUGAAGAGAACUUAUCAAAAGAACCAGAAAAGCAUGAGAAAGAAUUCCUAAAAUAGUUUAAUUCCAGGGAAGAGUGAUUCUGUACAGAUGUAGAAUAUUUGGCGCUCUGUGGUUGAUAUGAUUCCAUAUGUAUAUAUAUCUAUAUAUAUAUUUAUAUACUUUUUUUUAAAACGUUAACUAAAACAUCUAGUUUCCUGGUACUAACAUCCCUUGAAUUUCUGUAGGAGGCAUUUCCUUUAGUCCUUAGGCCACAGCUGGGUGUUUUGGCACGUGACGUGGGGGGUCGGCGUGGAGGACCCGUACGGAGGGGACAGCAUUUGGAAAUCAGAGUUCGAAAGUAGCCUGGGGUUCACUACUGGCGAGGGGAAACUUUUAGAAUUUGGUAAACCAGGUGUAAAGUGAAGGGAGAGAGAGACUGACGUGCUGAGCCCUUUAAAGUGAUGUGAUCACGGCAAAGCGAUGGGCUGGGCCGUGGGGGCGGGGCGGGGCGGUAACCGAAGAGCAGGGGCGUGGACUCCAGGAGGGGGCGCCACCGACGGCCUCGGGGGUCCCAGCUUCCCCGUUGCGGGCACAGACCAACCUCUCGUCUCGUCUGCUGGACAGACGGAACCGUGUACACACUGCAGAGACCGGUCCUUCCUCACUGAGGACGUGAAAGCGCGCGUUUCCAAGGCUUUCAGAUAUUCCAGCUGACUUCUGGCCAUGGAGAUGCUGUGCUGAGUUUGGGGGCGCAGAGGUGGACUUCCACUCCAGGUUUCGAGAGAAGCGCGAGGCGGGGAGCUUGGUGGCUGCAGAGAUGAUUCCUCAUCACCAUGGACUUGGCACAGGAACCAUGUGAGGGGUCACUGGGUUCAGGGCACAGGGACCCCAGGCCGCGGGGUGGGGGUCUUCCUUUCCUGCACUCAAGCUGUAGCACCUUCUCUUGGGGUAUCUAAUGCCUUGAGAGUGCUGAGACACACCCUUUCACAGUUGUUUGUUAUUCUCGCCUCUAAUAUCACACGAUUUAUAAAAAUAUAAAUAAGAAA